ensembl:lncRNA
UAUUCUCAGAGUUGGUUCUAAGACCCUGGGGUAAGAGAGCUUUAAUAUUUUGAUACACGAGCAAUGUGGAAAGUGGCCUACCAGGGCAGAAUCUGGAACCCGCGGCCAGCACCCAACACAGCCAGUGGUUUCCUGAGUGGGACAAGCCGGGAGUCACUUCCCGGGGACCGGUUGGCCUCGCCAAGGCUGCCAGGAUGCUGUGGUCUCCAUGACAACAGACUGUACGAAGGAGGAGAUGCAGCAAAGAGGUGGUGUCAUCCUGCCAAACCAACCCCCCGCCCACGCACAGCCAGCCGAGCCGCAGGAAGUGGAAUUCUUCUGGGAAAGCGGCUGACGUCGCCGGUGGCCAGGCCGCUGCCCCUGCCCAGGCAGCGCUGAUGCAAGGGCCGCGCGCGCCAGGAGGCGGCUGUCCCCGGGGAGGGCCCAGCGCUCCGUCCCGCUCCUUUCCGGCCACCCCGCCCGAUUUUCCCUGCGAGGAGUCAGCAGCUUCUGGGUGGUUCCCCCUCGAAAGGCUCAGUGUGUGCGCGCGUGUGUGCGUAUGUGUGUGUGUGGGGGGGUCCUUUGCCCAAACCAAAUCCUCUGGUCUGCUCUUCCCAGCCUGGGAUUAGAAUCUGAGCCUCCCAAUUUGGCCAGGUUUGGGCGGACGUGCAGGGCUUCCGCUGCUCCCUGCCGCUCCCUGGGGACUGCCCGGGUGGCCAGGAUACCUAGUGUCAGCGGGUGCCAAGGAAACCGCCCGGAUCACGAGGGAACCUUGUGUCUGGAUGAGGAGGUGGUGAACAGCCUCUGGGGUGGAAGUGGUCCGGCCUGGGCAGGUCUCUAUCGCCCUCUGCUGGGAAAAUAAGAAAAUUGCUUUAAAUUCCCGCCAGCCUCUCCCAGAGAUUUGGGGAGGGAUGGCAAGUGGAGUGAGGCCGGGGCGGAAAUGUUAGGGAUAACUGUCCUCAUAAAACAGAUAGGGAAACUGAGGCUCGGAGAGGACAAAGAAUUUGUCCGUACUCCCACAGCUACUCUCGGGCGAGAAUUUGCAUUGACGACCCUCAUCGGGCAGCAGUUUUGGAAGUGAGCAGCCCAGUAGUUGACUGCUUCCCCCUGAGGGGUCCCUUUACCCGCUGCCUCCUCCGUCAGGCGUCGAUCACUGCAUCCCUUCGGCGGUGCCAAGUGUGAUUGGGGACCUUGUUUCAGCGGCUCUGAGAAGUCGAAACUAUUUUCAAACAAUAUUAGGCUAUUUGGUUUUUUCAUUCUUUCUCCUCCAAGCAUGUACAGGAGAAUUUUUUAAAGACCACAUGUCAUAUGUUGCUGCAAUAGGCUGAAUGCAGAGGGUCUUACAAAGUUUCUCAGACUGGCCUAGAACUUAUAGAUCCUCCUACCUCAGCCUUCUGAGCAGCUUCGAUUAAAGGAACCACAGCUUUAGACUUUGAUCUGACCUGGAGAUGGACUUACUUGGGACCUUUCAGGUGAAAUUACAUUAGGUGGCUGUUCAGUGUCAGCCAUUAGAGACCACGUACACAAUUAGGACCAGCUUCUCUCUGCUUGGGGCUAAGACUGCUAGAAGAAAUUGAGGGUCAGCCAAUUUGCACAUUGGGAGAGGUAAGAAAAUGACAAUGGAGUUUAAGAG